rnacentral:rRNA from 1 species
GUGGACGCUUGCCUUAAAGAUUAAGCCAUGCAAGCCAGCGAAGGUAACGGAGCGGCGAACGGCUCAGUAGGACAGGGGUUAUCUGACCACCGAACAGGAUAACCGCGGUAAUCUGUGGCUAAUACGUGUGUGGGUGAGACUCUGCCCUAUCAGCUUGGGGGUACGUAAGUGCGUACCCUUGCGACGACGGGUAACGGGAAAUGAUCGUUUGAUACCGGAGAGGGAGCCUGAGAAAUAGCUCCCACGUCUAAGGAUGGCAGCAGGCGCGAAAAUUACCCAAUGCAAGAAGCGAGGUAGUCAAGAGGCGUAAUUAUUAAUUGAUACUGACAGUAAAGAUGUCAGCUUAAACUGGAGGCAAGUCUGGUGCCAGCAGCCGCGG